rnacentral:rRNA from 1 species
GCAGUCGACGAUGAACCGCUUUCGGGCGGGGAUUAGUGGCGAACGGGUGAGUAACACGUGGGCAAUCUGCCCUGCACUCUGGGACAAGCCCUGGAAACGGGGUCUAAUACCGGAUAUGACUGUCCAUCGCAUGGUGGAUGGUGUAAAGCUCCGGCGGUGCAGGAUGAGCCCGCGGCCUAUCAGCUUGUUGGUGAGGUAGUGGCUCACCAAGGCGACGACGGGUAGCCGGCCUGAGAGGGCGACCGGCCACACUGGGACUGAGACACGGCCCAGACUCCUACGGGAGGCAGCAGUGGGGAAUAUUGCACAAUGGGCGAAAGCCUGAUGCAGCGACGCCGCGUGAGGGAUGACGGCCUUCGGGUUGUAAACCUCUUUCAGCAGGGAAGAAGCGAAAGUGACGGUACCUGCAGAAGAAGCGCCGGCUAACUACGUGCCAGCAGCCGCGGUAAUACGUAGGGCGCAAGCGUUGUCCGGAAUUAUUGGGCGUAAAGAGCUCGUAGGCGGCUUGUCACGUCGGUUGUGAAAGCCCGGGGCUUAACCCCGGGUCUGCAGUCGAUACGGGCAGGCUAGAGUUCGGUAGGGGAGAUCGGAAUUCCUGGUGUAGCGGUGAAAUGCGCAGAUAUCAGGAGGAACACCGGUGGCGAAGGCGGAUCUCUGGGCCGAUACUGACGCUGAGGAGCG